rnacentral:snRNA from 1 species
AUAUUCCCCCAGAAAAGGUAAGUUCAUGAUUAAGAAGGUGAUUUUUUUCUCUGGGCAGGGCUUACCAACAUCAAUAAGGAUGUGCUGAGCCCUGAGAUUUCCUCAAGUAUGGGAAAUCCAAUUGUGCAAUUCGUGAAAGUGGAGGACCAUUUUUACC